UACGUAGGGGACGAGCGUUGUCCGGAAUUAUUGGGCGUAAAGAGCGUGUAGGCGGCUCUGCAAGUCCUGCGUGAAAUCUCGAGGCUCAACCUCGAGCGGUCGUGGGAAACUGGAGGGCUAGAGUGCGGGAGAGGGAAGUGGAAUUCCAGGUGUAGCGGUGAAAUGCGCAGAUAUCUGGAAGAACACCCGUGGCGAAGGCGGCUUCCUGGACCAACACUGACGCUGAGGAGCGAAAGCCAGGGGAGCAAACGGG
rnacentral:rRNA from 1 species